GAUGAACGCUGGCGGCGUGCCUAAUACAUGCAAGUCGAGCGAACAGACGAGGAGCUUGCUCCUCCGACGUUAGCGGCGGACGGGUGAGUAACACGUAGAUAACCUACCUAUAAGACUGGGAUAACUUCGGGAAACCGGAGCUAAUACCGGAUAAUAUAUUGAACCGCAUGGUUCAAUAGUGAAAGACGGUUUUGCUAUCACUUAUAGAUGGAUCUGCGCCGCAUUAGCUAGUUGGUAAGGUAACGGCUUACCAAGGCAACGAUACGUAGCCGACCUGAGAGGGUGAUCGGCCACACUGGAACUGAGACACGGUCCAGACUCCUACGGGAGGCAGCAGUAGGGAAUCUUCCGCAAUGGGCGAAAGCCUGACGGAGCAACGCCGCGUGAGUGAUGAAGGUCUUCGGAUCGUAAAACUCUGUUAUUAGGGAAGAACAAAUGUGUAAGUAACUAUGCACGUCUUGACGGUACCUAAUCAGAAAGCCACGGCUAACUACGUG
rnacentral:rRNA from 1 species